rnacentral:snRNA from 1 species
AGCUUUGCGCAGUGGCAGUAUCAUAGCCAAUGAGGUUUAGCUGAGGCGCGAAUAUUGCUAAUUGAAAACUUUUCCCAAUAUCCCGCCAUGACAACUUGAAAUAUAGUUCAGCGUUGGCAAUUUUUGGCAGUCUCUACGGAGA